AUGACCUUAUAGUCCUUACAUUCCGUUUGGUCACAAUCCUUUUUUCUUACAACUGAGAGUAGGAGAAUGAACUGACAUCAUGUACUUUAUGGGUGCAAGCCUCUCUGCCUCCGUGGGUCCAUAAAAUAAACCGAGAAAUUAUGAAACAAUGAUUUGAAAAUUGCACAUAUGUGUUUAGACAUGUAACAUGCAGAAAAUGAAACUCUGCUCUCUAUUUUCUUCCAUACACAAGCUCUGCACCAAAUGUGCCAUAGACCAGAUACCCUGAAAAUUCCAAAGACACAGUAGAGAAAAUACUCCCACUUCUAAGCACAGCAGAAUCUGGAAGAAGAGACGUUACACAGUUGCCCAGCAGAGAUGCCUCUUUGCUGUCUCAGCCUGGAUGCCUGUGGCAGCAGUUGCAUUAGGAACACCCCACCUGGAAGUCUUCCUGUCAACAUCAUUGGAUCCUGGGAACCCACAAUUUCCUGCUCUUCACCAAGUUCUGGAUGGCCAGUAACUAUUGUUAGACUUUUUGAUGGGGGUAAUUUAUUGUAAUCUGAAAGAGCAGUGGAGGAGAAAGGAGAAACUGAAAACUUAUCUGUGCUUGGUGUCAAAUGGUAUCUGAGGGACUUAACAUGUGACAUCGAUUGUAGAUCUCCAUCUAAGAAAGACGCUGAAACAUCUACACAUUGUUAGUAACAUCUUAGACAACAUCAGUGCUCUAGAAGCAUGGAAGUUCCAUGCACAGAAUGAAGCAUGAUCAAGCAUGCCCCACCCCACAGUAAUAGUGCUACUACCCCAUCGUAAAGGAUGAAGGCACCAUCAGUGUUGUGCCAAAAUACAUACAUGCUUGUUUCCAUACAACACACAAAAAUAUGUGCCCACAUUCAUACAUUUAAAAACAUAUAUGUGUCUACACCUUUGCAUGCACGCGUGCGCGCGCGCACGCACGCACACACACACACACACACACACACACACACA